rnacentral:rRNA from 1 species
UACGAAGGGGGCUAGCGUUGCUCGGAAUUACUGGGCGUAAAGGGCGCGUAGGCGGACAGUUUAGUCAGAGGUGAAAGCCCAGGGCUCAACCUUGGAAUUGCCUUUGAUACUGGCUGUCUUGAGUUCGGGAGAGGUGAGUGGAAUGCCGAGUGUAGAGGUGAAAUUCGUAGAUAUUCGGCGGAACACCAGUGGCGAAGGCGGCUUUCUGGCCUGUUCUUGACGCUGAGGCGCGAAAGCUAGGGGAGCAAACGGG